rnacentral:rRNA from 1 species
UUAUUGGAGAGUUUGAUCCUGGCUCAGACGAACGCUGGCGGCGUGCCUGUCACAUGCAAAAGUCGAGCGGACCUUGUGUUUCCUUCGGGAGACGCCAGGUUAGCGGCGGACGGGUGAGUAACACGUAGGCAACCUGCCUGUAAGACCGGGAUAACUUGCGGAAACGUGAGCUAAUACCGGAUAGCUGGUUUCUUCGCAUGAAGAAGUCAUGAAAGACGGGGCAACCUGUCACUUACAGAUGAGCCUGCGGCGCAUUAGCUAGUUGGUAGGGUAACGGCUUACCAAGGCGACGCAUGCGUAGCCGACCUGAGAGGGUGAACGGCCACACUGGGACUGAGACACGGCCCAGAUCCUACGGGAGGCAGCAGUAGGGAAUCUUCCGCAAUGGACGAGUCUGACGGAGCAACGCCGCGUGAGUGAUGAAGGUUUUCGGAUCGUAAAGCUCUGUUGCCAAGGAAGAACGGCCAGGGAGUAACUGCCCCUGGAGGACGGUACUUGCGAAGAAAGCCCCCGCUAACUACGUGCCAGCAGCCGCGGUAAUACGUAGGGGGCAAGCGUUGUCCGGAAUUAUUGGGCGUGGCAAGCGGCGCAGGCGGUCUUUUAAGUCUGGUGUUUAAGCCCGGGGCUCAACCCCGGUUCGCACUGGAAACUGGGAGACUUUGGAGGUAGAGAGGAAAGGGAAUUCCACGUGGGUAGCGGUGAAAUGCGUAGAUGUGGAGGAACACCAGUGGCGGAAGGCGGCUUCGGGUCGGCAACUCACGCUGAGGCGCGAAAGGCAGGGAGCAAACAGGAUUAGAUACCCUGGUAGUCCACGCCGUAAACGAUGAAUGCUAGGUGUUAGGGGUUUCGAUACCCUUGGUGCCGUGAAGCAAUACAGUAAGCAUUCCGCCUGGGGAGUACGGUCGCAAGACUGAAAACUCAAAGGAAUUGACAACUGCACAAGUGGUGGAGGUAUGUGGUUUAAUUCGAAGCAACGCGAAGAAACCUUACCAGGCCUUGACAUCCCUCUGACCGGUUUAGAGACAGACCUUUUCCUUCGGGGACAGAGGUGGGAGACAGGUGGUGCAUGGUUGUCGUCAGCUCGUGUCGUGAGAUGUUGGGUUAAGUCCCGCACCAGCGCAACUCCUUGAUCUUAGUUGCCAGCACGGCGAGGUGGGCACUCUUAUGAUGACUGCCGGUGACAAACCGGAGGAAGGUGGGGAUGACGUCAACCAUCAUGCCCCUUAUGGCCUGGGCUACACACUCGCCCAAUGGUCGGUACAACGGGAAGCGAAGGAGCGAUCCGGAGCCAAUCCUCAAAAGCCGAUCUCAGCCUGGAUUGGUGCCGCAACUCGCCUGCAUGAAGUCGGAAUUGCUAGUAAUCGCGGAUCAGCAUGCCGCGGUGAAUACGUUCCCGGUCUUGUACACACCGCCCGUCACACCACGAGUUGGCGAACACCCGAAGUCGGUGAGGUAAACGGUGAAGCAGCCGCCGAAGGUGGGGUAGAUGAUUGGGGUGAAGUCGUAACAAGGUAGCCGUAUCGGAAGGUGCGGCUGGAUCACCUCUUUC